rnacentral:rRNA from 1 species
AACGAACGCUGGCGGCAUGCCUAACACAUGCAAGUCGAACGAGACCUUCGGGUCUAGUGGCGCACGGGUGCGUAACGCGUGGGAACCUGCCUUUAGGUUCGGAAUAACUCAGAGAAAUUUGAGCUAAUACCGGAUGAUGUCUUCGGACCAAAGAUUUAUCGCCUUUAGAUGGGCCCGCGUUGGAUUAGCUAGUUGGUGGGGUAAAGGCCUACCAAGGCGACGAUCCAUAGCUGGUCUGAGAGGAUGAUCAGCCACACUGGGACUGAGGCACGGCCCAGACUCCUACGGGAGGCAGCAGUGGGGAAUAUUGGACAAUGGGCGAAAGCCUGAUCCAGCAAUGCCGCGUGAGUGAUGAAGGCCUUAGGGUUGUAAAGCUCUUUUACCCGAGAUGAUAAUGACAGUAUCGGGAGAAUAAGCGCCGGCUAACUCCGUG